CAGUAGCCGCGGGAACACAGAGGGUGCAAGCGUUAAUCGGAAUUACUGGGCGUAAAGCGCGCGUAGGUGGUUUGUUAAGUUGGAUGUGAAAUCCCCGGGCUCAACCUGGGAACUGCAUCCAAAACUGGCAAGCUAGAGUAUGGUAGAGGGUGGUGGAAUUUCCUGUGUAGCGGUGAAAUGCGUAGAUAUAGGAAGGAACACCAGUGGCGAAGGCGACCACCUGGACUGAUACUGACACUGAGGUGCGAAAGCGUGGGGAGCAAACAGGAUUAGAUACCCGCGUAGUCCCUGUCUCUUAUAC
rnacentral:rRNA from 1 species